rnacentral:tRNA from 2 species
GUCUCCAUAGUGAAAUGGAUAUCACGCAACCCUCCGGAGGUUGAAUUGUAGGUUCGAUUCCUACUGGGGAUACCA